rnacentral:lncRNA from 1 species
UGCCAUUUCAUGAAUAUUACAUACAUGAUACAUCACCAAGGGCAGUGUUUUUUUCACUUGAGCAUUGAACUAAUCUACCUGGAUAUUGUUACAACCGUAAAUACAUGGUACAUCAAGCAUCAAUUUCAUUCACAACUUUCUCAUGGAUGAGGCCAUUAAUGUCAUCCCAGGCAUCAACAAGUUAAAUCACAAUGUAAAACGAAGCUUCAAAUUUGUUUGCUUGAAUUUCUCCAUCCCCAAGGUACAUUAAGAAUCACCCGUACUUUAAUUACAUGUUUACGAAUUUAUUGAAUAAAUAUUAAGUACUUACACACACACACACACAAAUGGGGUUUAUGCUCAGUAUGUGAAUGAACAAGUAAAAAUAAUUGUAUUAUGCAUUUUCGGGUAAACUAACUGAUGAGAUUAGCAGCAACGUGUAGCAUAAACCGGUGGGAGAUGGAAGGACUACUGGUAUACUAGUCGGCAAAGAGUGCUCCGAUUGGGGAUGAGUGCUUCGGUCGGCCAAGGCACGGUGACGAGAGGGAGGCGACGAGAGGGAAGGAGGGUUUGGAACAUUAUCUCUUUCCUUUUGAUUUCCCGCUUCUGGUUUUGCCCCUCUUGUUUUCUUUCUUUAGUUUUUUCUUCUUCUUCUUCUUCUUCUUUUUUUUUUUUUAAUUGUGCAAUAAUUGCCACGUAAACGAAAAUUCAAUUGCCUUUUUUCAUUCCUGGCUGACUAGCAUUAUUCUAUCUAUAUACCCCUUUAAAUUUGAAGUCAAAACAAGAAGAUGCGUUUUUUAAAAGCAGUCUUCUGGGCAAUCGCGCCAAACUCCAAUCGAUUAAUAAUGCCUCUCUAAUUUCCCAAACCUAAAAAAAAUUUCUGGUAAGAUUUUUUUCUUCUUCUUUCAGUAAUUCAAUAGUUCGAUUUAACUAUUAUUAUGCUUGCAUAGCAGAAUUAAUUCAAUUAUUCCUUCGAGCAUAUGAUGGUGAUAAAUAUGAUUUAAAAGUAGUGUAUGGGAUGUGAUGAAAUUUUAUGGUUUGCUCCUUUGCUUGGUUGGGUCUAUUGUUUAUAGAUAGUGUUAUAUCUGAUUGAUCUCUGGGCUCCGGCACACGGCUAUACUUCCGAUCGAGAAUAAGCACAUAACUGGGUAUCCGUUUCCCCUUAACUUGUAUGCCAUUUCAGUUGUUUCACAAUUAAUUUACGCAUCAUGCAGUCCUCGAAUCAUUGGUUCCUAAUGCGUGGUUGGUGCUACCAUUUCCCAAUCCCUGUUUUGGAGAAUCCAUACUGCCUAGGAAGACAUCAGGGCUAGAGGUGUGCUACUUCUCACUACAAGUAAUAAGCCUUUCACCUCAUGGCGGUGGGAUAUUCCACUGGCCACCACGUUACAUCACGAUACUGAAUUGGCUUCAGACUAACAAUUGCACCUGCAGGCUGCAGCCAUAUGCAUGCAAGGAGCAGGCCCAACACUAUAGCUGCAGUGGCAAAAGGGCUUACUGGCUCAACAGCUCCUCUGCUGUCAAAGGUAGAAUCUGCAGCAGGAGAUGCACAUUGUGUGCAUGCAGGAAGCCAUGUUUGAAGUCUUGAAGGUAGUUCAAGUAACCUGCACCGAAUAUAGAGUGGGGCAGGCACCAGAAUAUCUAAAGGUGUGGUUCUAUCUAGGAAAUAUGGGGGCAUAGAAUUCUCCUAGAGCUUGGACAUGUAUUCAGAGGCUAGAUAUACCACGUUCCAGUAUGUUCUUUAGUAUAUUCAAUACAUGAAAUUUAAUAUACAAUUGAGAGAGAUUCUGUAGGAUGGCAUCCAGUCUGUAGGGUGGUAUCCAGAUAUUCCUAUUUCUAUAUAAGUUUUUGGAAAGAUUCUAGAAAACUUCCCUCAAGCAUUGGAUAAAUGAAUUUCCACCAUCCAUUGAGGUGGAAGCUACAAAUGGCGAGCAAAGGCCCUAAUUUUCAAAACAAUGAAGGGACUGUUGUAAACAAGACGAAGGAGAAAGAGGCACAUUUCUUCCAAACUCUCUUGUGCACUUACUUUAGUUAAUUACUUGGUUUACCUUUUAGCUAUCUAGUUAGGUAAUGCACGCAGAUUGCUUACAUGGUCUGUUGUGGUUGUCAAAAAUUUGAUUGCAUUAUAUCUUCACAUAAAUGUAGCAAUGGACUGAGUGGAGCGAUUUAGUAAACUGCCGACUCCAAAUUAUUUGGAGUGGGACUUCUGCUGCUGUUGUUUGAGUUAGGUAGCCUGACUUUGAU